GAGAAGUCUAAAUCCGUCCGUCGUUUAACAUCCAGGAUUAGCAUAAGGGGGUGAGAGUUGAGGGACAAUGGAAACUUGCAGAGAAGAAAACGGGGGAGACUUGCAAAUAGGAAGGGCGAUGGGUAGUGGAUGGUGUUGUAUUUUUUGUUUUUUUUCUAUGUUUUUUUUAUAUUUUUAUUUUUAUUAACUUCAUUAAGGGAAAACUAGUCUAUACACAUUUUUAUGAUUAGAAUUAAUAUUUUUUUAUGGUUCAUAUUAACCUUUUUGUUAAGUAAAAUGAUUAUUUAAAGGUAUUAAUACUUUUUAAAAGAUCGUAUGAUGAUAGAUUUGAAAUUGAGACCUUUGGCCAUUUGUAUAACAUUAAUUAUGCCACCACUAUGUCGACACAUGCAUAAUCUUCACAUGCACACUAGACUGUGUCCCAUUUCUAGUGUCCUGCUUUCUAUUUUCGGUAUAGUUUUAGUUACUUUUUUCUUUAAUUUUAAUUGAUUAUAUUUUGAUAUACUCCCUCCGUCCCGCGAGUCUUGACACGUUUGGGUUCGGCACGAGAAUUAAGGAGUUGUAGAUUAGUGUUUUAAGUGUGUAAUUAAUAAAGUAUAAAAUUGAUAAAGUAUGAGAGAGAAGGUAAUAAAAGUGAUAAAGUAAGAGAGAGAUAUAAUAAAGGUGAUAAAGUAGGAGAGAGAAUGUAAUAAUUAUUGCCCAAAAAGGAAACGUGUCAAGAUUCGUGGGACGGCCCAAAAAGGAAACGUGUCAAGAUUCGUGGGACGGAGGGAGUAUAUAUUAUGAAAUAAUUAAUCAUCUAACUUAAUUUUAUAAAAAUUAAUCAAUUCAAAUUAAAAAUAUUUAUAGUUAUCAUUAAUAUAUUUUUAUGUCUUUUGUAUGUUUGACAAAAAAUACUUUUCUUUUUUUUCUGAAUANGUACGAGGGUUGGUGGGGCUCCCCGACUCCGAGUAAAAAAGAGGGGGGGGGGGUUGUGAACUUGUACGAGGUUUGGGGGAGGGGCUCCCCCGAGUAAAAAAAAUUUUGAUCAGUUCAUACAAUUUUUUUUUGUCAAUUGUUUCUACUAUGAGAAAACAAUAACAAUUUCUUUUAAAUGACAAUUAAUUUUGAUAUAUACUCAUCAAUUGAAAACGUUGCAAGAUGUUUUGGUUAACAAUGAUUGAAAAAAUAUUUUUGUCAAUGUACAUGACUAUAAACUGUUUGUUGAGGUUAUGUUCUUUUUCUUAAUUUUGUUACAUGUUCAAAAAAAAUAUUAACUGGAGUGGGCUGCGCUUAGACUGGUUGUGGCUGCGCCACUGCACAUACCGAGAAGUCUAAAUCCGUCCGUCGUUUAACAUCCAGGAUUAGCAUAAGGGGGUGAGAGUUGAGGGACAAUGGAAACUUGCAGAGAAGAAAACGGGGGAGACUUGCAAAUAGGAAGGACGAUGGGUAGUGGAUGGUGUUGAUUUUUUCGUUUUUUUUUUUUUUUUUUUUUUUUUUUUUUUUACUUUUCAUUAAUGGAAAACUAGUCUAUACACAUUUUUUAUGAUUAUAAUUAAUAUUUUUUUAUGGUUCAUAUUAACCUUUUUGUUAAGUAAAAUGAUUAUUUAAAGGUAUUAAUACUUUUUAAAAGAUCGUAUGAUGAUAGAUUUGAAAUUGAG
rnacentral:lncRNA from 1 species